GACGAACGCUGGCGGCGUGCUUAACACAUGCAAGUCGAACGGAAAGGCCCUUCGGGGUACUCGAGUGGCGAACGGGUGAGUAACACGUGGGUGAUCUGCCCUGCACUUUGGGAUAAGCCUGGGACACUGGGUCUAAUACCGAAUAGGACCACGCGCUUCAUGGUGUGUGGUGGAAAGCUUUUGCGGUGUGGGAUGGGCCCGCGGCCUAUCAGCUUGUUGGUGGGGUAAUGGCCUACCAAGGCGACGACGGGUAGCCGGCCUGAGAGGGUGACCGGCCACACUGGGACUGAGAUACGGCCCAGACUCCUACGGGAGGCAGCAGUGGGGAAUAUUGCACAAUGGGCGCAAGCCUGAUGCAGCGACGCCGCGUGAGGGAUGACGGCCUUCGGGUUGUAAACCUCUUUCACCAGGGACGAAGCGUAAGUGACGGUACCUGGAGAAGAAGCACCGGCCAACUACGUG
rnacentral:rRNA from 1 species